GGCGACCACCGCCAUUGGAAUCCGCUUAAGACAUGCGAGUUGAGAGGGUUCAGACCCUCGGCAUACUGCUCAGUAACACGCGGACAAUCUGCCCUAAGGUGGGGGAUAAUCUCGGGAAACUGAGCAUAAUACCCCAUAAGUCAUGGAUGCUGGAAUGCUUCAUGACCAAAAGCUCCGGCGCCUUAGGAUGAGUCUGCGGCCUAUCAGGUCGUAGUGGGUGUAACGGACCCACUAGCCAGCGACGGGUACGGGCGUUGGGAGACGUCGCCCGGAGAUGGAUUCUGAGACACGAAUCCAGGCCCUACGGGGCGCAGCAGUCGCGAAAACUUCACAAUGUGGGAAACCACGAUGAGGGGAGUCCAAGUGCAUGCGCAUAGCGUAUGCUGUUCGGUUGCCUAAAAAGCAGCCGAAGGAAGGGCUGGGUAAGACAGGUGCCAGCCGCCGCGGUAAUACCUGCAGCCCGAGUGGUGGUCGAUAUUAUUGAGCCUAAAGCGUCCGUAGCCGGACCGGUAAACCCUUGGGUAAAUCGGGCAGCUUAACUGUCCGAAUUCCGAGGGGACUGCUGGUCUUGGGACCGGGAGAGGUCAGAGGUACUCCGGGGGUAGGGGCUAAAUGC
rnacentral:rRNA from 1 species